GUGGAUGAGUGUUCGAUGACUCAGCAUCUCCGGGAGGGAUGAGUGUUAAAGGUUUAUUUGGGUCUGUGAAGGCAGCUGGCAUGAUGGCUCUCCUGCUUGUGGUCUUGGGGGUUUUAGCAGCAGCCAGUCUGGCAGGUAAAGCCAGUGCGAGUGUCUUUGAAUGUGUGUGUGAUGGGCCGUCAUGUGGCAGUAGCAGCCACUGCUUUGGAGCGCAGUGCUUCUCCUCUCUCUCGCUCCGGAACGGGACAGUCCUCCACCAGAAGGGGUGCAUUGUGGGUACAGAGGAAGGGGCAGACCAGUGCGGAAGCUCCCUGCAGG
ensembl:lncRNA